GACGAACGCUGGCGGCAGGCUUAACACAUGCAAGUCGAACGCCCCGCAAGGGGAGUGGCAGACGGGUGAGUAACACGUGGGAACGUACCCUUUGGUUCGGAAUAACUUGGGGAAACUCAAGCUAAUACCGGAUAAGCCCUUAUGGGGGAAGGUUUACUGCCGAAGGAUCGGCCCGCGUCUGAUUAGCUAGUUGGUGAGGUAAUGGCUCACCAAGGCGACGAUCAGUAGCUGGUCUGAGAGGAUGAUCAGCCACACUGGGACUGAGACACGGCCCAGACUCCUACGGGAGGCAGCAGUGGGGAAUAUUGGACAAUGGGGGCAACCCUGAUCCAGCCAUGCCGCGUGAGUGAUGAAGGCCUUAGGGUUGUAAAGCUCCUUUACCCGGGACGAUAAUGACUGUACCGGGAGAAUAAGCCCCGGCUAACUUCGUGCCAGCAGCCGCAGUAA
rnacentral:rRNA from 1 species